UGGCUCAGGAUGAACGCUGGCGGCAUGCUUUACACAUGCAAGUCGAACGGUAGAGGGGGCAACCCUCGAGAGUGGCGAACGGGUGAGUAAUAUAUCGGAACGUGCCCAGUCGUGGGGAUAACGUAGCGAAAGUUACGCUAAUACCGCAUACGAUCUACGGAUGAAAGCGGGGGACUCGCAAGAGCCUCGCGCGAUUGGAGCGGCCGAUAUCAGAUUAGGUAGUUGGUGGGGUAAAGGCUCACCAAGCCAACGAUCUGUAGCUGGUCUGAGAGGACGACCAGCCACACUGGAACUGAGACACGGUCCAGACUCCUACGGGAGGCAGCAGUGGGGAAUUUUGGACAAUGGACGCAAGUCUGAUCCAGCCAUUCCGCGUGCAGGAUGAAGGCCCUCGGGUUGUAAACUGCUUUUGUACGGAACGAAAAGGUCUCUCUUAAUACGGGGGGCUCAUGACGGUACCGUAAGAAUAAGCACCGGCUAACUACGUG
rnacentral:rRNA from 1 species